AAAGAAACUCCCCAAGAAUAAACAACUCUACUAUUUACACAUUGUACGUUGAGUGUAGGUGAGAAGCUGCGCUCAGGUUCGAGCCGAGCGAAGCGAGACAGCGUUGCGCUUGCCGCAACGACCCGAAGGGCGAGGGCAAAGCCCGAGUAAUCCUGCACGACCCACCA
rnacentral:sRNA from 1 species